rnacentral:rRNA from 1 species
AACGUAGGAUGCGAGCGUUAUCCGGAUUUACUGGGCGUAAAGCGCGUGUAGGUGGCAUCGGAAGUCAGAUAUGAAAGCUCCUGGCUUAACUGGGAGAGGCUGUUUGAUACUCCGAAGCUUGAGUUCAAGAGAGGCAAGUGGAAUUCCGGGUGUAGUGGUGAAAUGCGUAGAUAUCCGGAGGAACACCAGAGGCGAAGGCGGCUUGCUGGCUUGACACUGACACUGAGACGCGACAGCGUGGGUAGCGAACGGG